GAGCUUAAAUUCGUAAUAUAAAAGACACGAUAAGACAUUAUAGUUGGAAUUUUUAGGAAGGAUAAAUAAAUAUAUAUGUAUUUUAAUUAAAAAAAAUAUAUUUUGUAAUUAAAAAAUUUGUGUGCGGGUACCCGUGGGUACCCGCGGGUUAUCCAAAAUACCCACAGCUUAAUGGGUACCCACCCGUUUUACCCGUAAUUUUUUGGGUUGAAAAAGUUGGUACCCAUACCCGUAAAUUUGCGGGUAACCCGCGGGCACCCGCGGGUAUGGGUCGAGAUUGCCAGGUCUACUUAUGAGUAUAAAGCCCCUCGUACUCAUAAGUUGUUUUCGAUGUUGGAGUUUUCGAAUCGACGAUCCAUACCGUUAAACAUGAUCUACAGUAUUUGAAACUUCUAGAAAAUAAAUUUCGUAAUUUUUCGAAAUCAUUAUAAAGUCCAUCAAGCGGGUAUAAAAUAAAUGGUCAAAAUCGAACGACAUCCUAAAAAUGGAUGAUCGGAUCCUUCAAUUCAAGAUCGGAGUUAUUGAUCUUUAUUUAGGUAGUGAAUAGAAUUUUCGAUCAAAAAUUCAAUAUAUUCCGAUUCUUUUACACCGUUAAACUAGCAAAUAUUUCAUACCGGCCGUUAAAAAUUAUCAAUUUUGUGAGCUUUUGAUCGUAAGGUAAUGAUAUAGAAAAAUUAUAAAAUUUAAUUUCUAGAAGUUUUAAAUACUCUAGAUAAUGUUUAACGGUAUGGAUCGUCGAUUUGGAAGCUCUAUCAUCAAAAACAACUUAUGAGUACAAAGGCGACUCUAUAUAUAUAUAUAGAGUUGAGCUGGAAUGCUAUCGGUAGCAAACGGGCUCCGUUGCCACCCAUUUGUUUCCGAUGAUGGAGCCUCCGAAUCGACGAUCAGCACCGUUGAACAUGAUUUAUACCACUUGAAGUAUUUAGAAACCAAAUUUCAAAUCUUUUGGAUAUCAUUGACCUAAUGAUCAACGGGUUUCAAAAUUUGUAAUUUUAAUGGUAGAUAUGAGGUGUUUUCACAUUUAACGGUGUAAAACUAUCCAAAUCAAUUGAAUUUUGGUUAGAAAAUUCUUUAAACUAUUUAAAACAAGAUCUAUACUCUCGAUCUUAAUUAUAAAAUUCCUAUCAUCACUUUUUAGAGUAUAUUCAUUUUCAGCUGUUCAUUUUUGCGCAUACCCGAUGGACCAGAGAAUAAUAUCGAAAAAGCAUGAAAUUUGAUUUCUAGAUACUUUAAGCGGUAUAGAUCAUGUUCAACGGUGUUGAUCAUCGAUUUGGAGGCUCCAUCAUCAAAAACAAAUGGGUGGCAACGGAGCCGGUUUGCUACCGAUAGUAUUCUAGCUCAACUAU
rnacentral:lncRNA from 1 species